UAAGGAUAUUCAACAGCUUCCAGGGUCGUACCAUCAUUAAGCUACAGUGGUGGGCGUGUACGAACAGUCCGCUGCUAGCUAAAAAUGAUAAAUAACGUUAGUGCCUACAGUAAGCUACAUUUUGUCGUCUGGCUUUUACUUGGUAGCAUUGACUCCGUGGGGCUCAGCGCACAUUUUAAACAGUUCUGCGAGUCUUUUCCAGACAAAGCCAUUUGGUAGCAUUCGAGCUAGCGAGUUAAUCUUUAAGUUGCCAAUAGCUAACGUUGAGACACACGAGACUUUAACGGACAACGGCGACACAACGUGAGCUAGCAAGAAAAGAGAGAGAGAGAGAGGGAGAGAGAAAAAAAAAGCCGUGAAAGCCUCAACAUCCACCGCGCAACAUUCACUGAUAUUAACGUCCGUCAUCUCAUGCGUGUCGCUUUCGGACCGCGCCAGCGUUAUUAACUACUCGGUUUCCAUCCACCAAGAUGUAUGGGAUGUCGGGAUGACAGGAAGAUGGCAAACGGGGUUGGAAAACACAAGCUGCUUGUCAUUGGACCCACAGAGCCAUGGUCAGUGAGGGAGAAGCUGUGUUUGGCCACGUCUGUCAUGAAGAGUGGAGACCAGAACUGGGUAUCUGUCAGUCGAGCCAUCAAACCAUUUGCAGAAUCUGGGCGACCGCCUGACUGGUUCUCUCAAAAGCACUGCGCCUCCAAGUACUCCGAGCUCCUGGAAACAACAGAGGCCCCAAAGCGGAAGCGUGGUGAGAAAGGUGAAGUGGUGGAGACUGUAGAGGAUGUGAUAGUACGCAGGCUGACAGCUGACAGGAUCGAUGAACUGAAGAAGUUGAUCAAAGACACACAGGAGAAGCACAGGAAGCUGAAGAGAGAGGCUGAACUGAUUCAAGCGGGACAUUUGGAUUCCAAACUACAAGAGUUAUGGGAAGAAAUUCUGCAGAAGAAGAAACAGGAGGAGGAGGAAGCCGAGCUGAAAAGAAAAAACACAGAUGCUGCUUAUCAGGCCAGACAGGUGGCAAAGAACACACCUAAACGAGUGCCCGGCAUCACCAUGCAUUCGCCCUCCUCAGGCUGUAGCUCCCCGAGCCAGGACUUCUCCCCAGGUGACCCACUCGAGUGCUUGACUCUGGAUCUUACACCGAUAAAAAAUGCUUCGGGAUCGACCAGAUUAAUGACAAUUCCUGAGUCUUCUGCUCCAGGUAAUGAUGACAUGAGCCACGGGUCACUUCUGGAUGACCCCACCCAAAAGAAGCUCCUGGGCCAGAAAGCCACACCGCCACCAUCUCCACUCCUGUCAGAGUUACUGAAGAAAGGCAGCAUUUUGGCUACAAAUUCCAGACUGAUUGGAGAGGGUGACAUGUCCACUGGUAAUAUGGCAGGAGCACAUGACCUGCAGCUGGGUCCGCCUGGUCAGCCUCUCUCUCAGGCAACAGGUGCCCCGAUGUUGUCUCGUCUCCUCGAGGUGGGUCCCUCCCAGUUUUCUGCCCCAUUAGGCUUCAUGGUCAGUGCAGACUCCGCCUCCAGUGCUCCUCUCUCUGCCACCACGCCUGUUCCCGCUGACGCUACCGCCUCAGCAAGUACAGAGAUUGACAUGAUGGUGCCGUCUGUGCCCCCUGGAUGCCAGCCUGUCUCUGCAUUGGACAAGGUGUCGGAUCUCAGUGAGGAGGACGUGACUGUGUCCUACAUGGGAGAUGAGCUGGACCUGAAGACAGUGGGGGACAUUAUCGCCAUCAUUGAAGACAAGGCAGAUGAGAGUGCAGAGGCCUUGGAUGCAGCUGCAGUUGAGGCUGCUCUGUCGCUGUGUGAGGAGAACGGUCACGCUUUGUCCGCUGCCUGGGAGACCGGGCCUUUCCAGCCCCAUGGGUGUCACGCCGCUGUGCCCGCGGGGGUCCCACAGUCUCUACAGUCCUCGUCUUUUCAAAGUAGCCUGAAGACAGAAGUGUUAGAGGGUCAGGGUGGGACUUCAGCUUCACUCUCCUCUCUGUGCAACAGUGAAGAUAACUGUCUCACAGCAUUCCCCAUGGGACUGAGGAGCCUUCCUCCCACCUCCUCGUCCUCAUGUAACUCAAAGAGUUUGGAGCACUGCCACUCUGGAGCACCUCUGCAGCCUGAGGCAAUGAGAGAGACUGGAGCGAUGGUGCACCGGAAAAGCCAGAUUUCAUUGGAUGUCACUGUUAAAAGUGAGAAUGAAAAGUGGGCACAUCAAAGACCUGAUAGACCCCGUGGAGACUCAGUAUUAGAAGAUAGCCCACUGACACAAAGACAUCCCAAGGAGACGAAGGGGCAGAACGGAGUAAGUGUUGGGCGAGGACAGAACACCUCAGGGACUCAAGUGCACAAUGAGGUCAACGGGCCAGAGGUGUAUGCAGAAGAAGAGGGCGACGGGGCGGAGGGAUUUUUGUCAGAGCCAGAGGGGGAGACCGAGCUAGAACCUGCGGCCAGCGAGAGCGAGGACGGAUACAGCCUCCACACGGCGUCCUCGUCUCUCCAGCUCCACACGGCUGCAGACUCCAUCCCCAGCAGCCCCGCUUCGUCGCAGUUUUCUGUGUGCAGUGAGGAUCUGGAAGCUCUACAGGCUCACAAGAUCUGGAAGAAAGCCAUUAUGCUGGUGUGGCGUGCGGCGGCCAACCACCGGUAUGCAAACGUCUUCCUGCAGCCAGUAACAGAUGAAAUUGCACCUGGGUAUCACAGUAUUGUGCACAGGCCCAUGGACCUGGCCACCAUAAAAAAGAACAUCGAGAUGGGUUUGAUACGGACCACCGCCGAGUUCCAGAGGGACAUCAUGCUGAUGUUUCAGAACGCGGUCAUGUACAACAGCAUGGAUCAUGACGUGUACCACAUGGCCCUGGAGAUGCAGCGCGACGUCAUGGAGCAGAUCCAACAGUUUCUCGCCACGCAGCUCAUCAUGGAGACAUCAGAGUCUGGUAUCAGCGCCAAGAGCCUGAGGGGCCGUGAGAGCACACGCAAACAGGACUCUACUGACAAGGUGCUUCACUAGAAUUUUGACAAAAGCAGAGAGUACAGAAGAAGAGACAAGGGUGAGACAACAGGCUGACUUAAAGGACACUGUCUCCAUGUCCUCUCCUGCCUUCCUCCUUUCUCUUUUUUAUGGCGGCACCAGGGGGCGCCGUUGUGCCAUAGAAGCUGACCUCAAGAUGAAGAAAUGAACACACAGCCUGAAAAAGAUUCAGCUGGGUCCUCGAGUGAGGUGAAAGGUGUAAUACCACAAGAGUGAAUUUAUUCUCCGUCAUUUGCACAGAUUUCCACUCUGCAUAAUGUGCAGCGUAACCUUCACUUGCACUCUACAUUAAAUGGAUAGACUGCUUCAUGGAGCAGCUCAUUUCUUCUGAGACAGCCAUGCAGACAUGGAUUACAUACUGUUUAAUCCCAGAUUACAAUGAGGCAUUCAGAAAGACUAGGUCAAACCUUUCACAGACGCAGCUGCUGAACAGUAAGACUCAGUCUGCUUUGCAUUACAUCAGGUUGUAGAAAUUAAAGAUAAAAUUUGCUCCUAGUCUAAAAAAAAAUGGGAUGAAAUUAAGUCUGCAGGGGUCCUGGUGGAAUUUCAGAUUAGCGAGGCUGAUUUGAAGAAAUGUACCAUGUUGGUGAUGAAACUAUAAAACCAGAGGCCAAAGAGUCUUACUAACCGAGAAUUUCUGAAUGAAUCAGGGGGCACGGUAUUAUUUAGAAAACAUUUUAAUUGCUGUUAAAACAAUUUAUUUGAAUUUUUUUUGUAUUUUUUUUUCAAGUUUUCUAUUUUCAAAACAUUUCUGACCAUUUUUAAACAUGGCUAUAUUGUUUGUGAUUGAUUUGAUCUAUGCUACACUACCUGUGAAACAUUACCUACAGUGCAUAAGUAUUCUGAGUCAUUUUAAGUAUUUUUGAGAAGACGUCACGUUAAUUAACUGUUUUGUGGACUUGUUUGAACAAUAAAAUGAAAGAAAUAAAAAGAGCCUUCAACCCA